rnacentral:rRNA from 1 species
GACGAACGCUGGCGGCGUGCUUAACACAUGCAAGUCGAACGGAAAGGCCCUGCUUUUUUGUGGUUCUCGAGUGGCGAACGUGUGAGUAACACGUGAGUAACCUGCCCUUUACUGUGGGAUAACUUCAGGAAACUGCGGCUAAUACCUGCUAGGAGCUCCUGCUGCAUGGUGGUGUUUGGAAAGUUUCGGCGGUUGGGGAUGGACUGGCGGCUUAUCAGCUUGUUGGUUGGGUAGUUGCUUACCAAGGCUUUGACGGGUAGCCGGCCUGAGAGGGUGACCGCGCACAUUGGGACUGAGAUACGGACCAGACGCCUACGGGAGGCAGCAGUGGGGAAUCUUGCACAAUGGGCGGAAGCCUGAUGAAGCAACGCCGCGUGCGGGAUGCAGGCCUUCGGGUUGUAAACCGCUUUCGCCUGUGACGAAGCGUGAGUGACGGUAAUGGGUAAAGAAGCACCGGCUAACUACGUG